CCAUGGCGCCGCCGCUCCACACCUCCCCUCGUCGUUCUGAGGGCACCGUUAGAUGCGCCUCGUCAUCCUCUACACCCUCGUCCAAGGAAUCGAGCCGAGAGCCUCCCAAUCGAGCGCAAACUCGCCGAUUCCAUCCUCAACUCCGGCGAAAAAUUUGUCAAUCCCGGCCGCUCUCGUCCUCCUCCGGCCAAACCGAGCACACCACCUCCUUCCCUGCGUCGAGCCGCACCCCCGACGCCAUCUCUCGCAUCCUGGUUCGUCCCGUCUCCGUCGUCCCCGAGCUCAUCUGCAAGUGUCCGCCAUGGCCCCUAUCUCCGCUCGUUUCUGCUUCAACAUGUCACGAAGCCCGUGUUCAUCAACAACAGCAACUGUAGCCCAGUGAUCUCGAGUUCAGAGAUGUUUCAGCUUAUGCGUGAGAUCAUCCAAGUCAACAACAUCAGCUAGCUCUUCUGACGGGCCUCGGCCCAGAUCCUCCGUCCCUGAUCAACGCCCGCGCGGCCCGAAGUUCCCAUCGCCGACGCAGAUCAGAUCCGGCCCAGGACAGUGCAGCAUUUGCUUUUUCACGGAUAGGAUCACGAAGUGGUGUUGUGAGAUACGAC